rnacentral:rRNA from 1 species
UACGAAGGGGGCUAGCGUUGCUCGGAAUCACUGGGCGUAAAGGGUGCGUAGGCGGGUCUUUAAGUCGGAGGUGAAAUCCUGGAGCUCAACUCCAGAACUGCCUUCGAUACUGAGGAUCUCGAGUCCGGGAGAGGUGAGUGGAACUGCGAGUGUAGAGGUGAAAUUCGUAGAUAUUCGCAAGAACACCAGUGGCGAAGGCGGCUCACUGGCCCGGUACUGACGCUGAGGUGCGAAAGCGUGGGGAGCAAACAGG